GAGAGAUGAUGAUUUUCCAUUGGUCCGUGUUUCUGAAUUUACCGUGACCGAUAACUUUUUCCAAUUUCUGAUCUC
rfam:Lupinus angustifolius cultivar Tanjil chromosome LG08, whole genome shotgun sequence.